GCCAGGCCUGUAGUCCCAGCUACUUGGGAGGCUGAGGUGGAGGAUCGCUUGAGCCCAGGAGUUCUGGGCUGUAGUGCACUAUGCCCAUCAGUGUCCACACUAAGUUCAGCAUCAGUAUGGUGACCUUCUGGGAGUGGGGGAUCACCAGGUUGCCUAAGAAGGGGUGAAUGGGCCUAGGUUGGAAAUAGAGCAGGUCAAAACUCCCGUGCUGAUCAGUAGUGGGAUUGCGCCUGUGAAUAACCAUUGCACUCCAGCCUGGGCAACAUAGUGAAACACUGUCUCU
rnacentral:SRP_RNA from 1 species